ACAUUUUUUAAUGGCUCAUUUGAGAGAUUGGAAAGAAAACCUUACCAAUUCACCCUAACUUCAUCAGUGGUUACAUUUCAGGUUAUGAGUCACUCUAAUCUCUUUAUGUACACCCCAAAAUUUUACAGUUAAUAUUACUUCUACUUACAGAUAAAUUAAGCUCAGACAUUUAAAAAUUGAACAAAAAUGCAAAAAGAAGAGUAAGGCAGAUGGAAACUAUACAGACUGUAACGUUUGGUGAUUAGGAAAUCACUUAUGAGUUACUGAGAGAGAAUGUUGAGAAAGGUGCCAGAUCACAUGGUACUAUAAAAUAGAGAAAAAGAAGCAGAAACUCACAGCUCUUCCUGCAAAAUAUUUGGUGACUGAAGAAAGGUGAUAGAGGAAAGUAGCUUGAAAGUAAUCAAGAUCAGGGUAAGAAAUUUCAUUUAGAAUGAAGAGACAUGAAUUUACUAUUAUAGACAAAGGAAAAGGGUCAGUACAGAAGGAUAACUAGCCUGUGGAUGAAGAGAGGAUAGUUGCUCAAAGUCUAAGAGAAUGUAGACAAUGACAAAUCAUGGUUUCAGACGUGGAUUGUAACGUUAACCAGAGAGAGAUGCUUCUUCAAAACAAAAGGAAAUAAAGAGUGUGCUUAUACAUAUAUGGAAAAAAAUGUGGACAUGAAGAAGGAAAAAAAAUGAGCAGUGAUCUGAUCCAUCAGGACAUUCAAAUUUUCUGAGUCAGAUGAUCUACCUUAUUUUGGAAUUAAGAAACACUUGAAGAUUAUUCUCAGAAAUGCCAUAAGGGAUAUUUAAAAAUCUUGGAGCACACAAGAAGUACAAGAGGAAUGAAAAUGUCAUGUCUUAAUUUUCCAAAAAAGAGAAUAUUUUAGUUUUUAGUAUAUAAAGGCAGAUUAACAAACCUUCACACAAAUCUAAAUUUUAUUACUAAAUUAAUUGAUUACACUUUGUGUUUACUAGGUCACAGGGAAUUUCAGUGGGUUUACUCUGCAAAAGAUUUCAUGUGAAAUACAUUUUUCUAUUCUGAAAGGUUUUUCAAGAUUUUCAAGGCAACUAAGAAGUUUUCUAAAAAGACAGUGUUUGUAAUACAGGCUCUAUAGAAAGCAUCGUUGUGGAGGCCUCAGGAAACUUACAAUCAUGGCAGAAGGCGAAGGGAAGCAGGCACAUCUUACGUGGCUGGAGAAGGAGGAAGAGAGAGCAGAGGAAGGUGCUACACAUUUUUAAACAACCGGAUCUCAUGAGAACUCACUCACUAUCACAAGAACAGCAGGGAAAUCCACCCCCAUGAUUCUAUCACCUCCCACUAGCCCUCUCCUCCUUCAACACUGGGGAUUACAACUCCACAUAAGGUUUGGGCAGGGACACACAUCCAAACCAUAUCAUCACUAAUUAAUGUUUCUGAAAGCUAGAGUUACAUUACAACCACCUGAGGAGCUUUUAGAAAAUUACAGAUCCCUGAGCUUCCAUCUAGAUUGAUUAAAUAAAAAUAUCUGGGCUUGAAUUCCUCGAGUUUGCAUUUUUUAAACUUUGUCAGUGAUUCUGAUGGUCAAUGAGUUUUGAGAACCACCGCUCUAAACCUUUCUGAAAUUUCUUCUUGUUCUAUAAAGUGAGGAUAAUAAUAUGAUAAGGAUAUCUCUGUCACAAUUUGAUGUAAGACAUAUAAAUAACUUAACCUAAAUCAGGUUCUCAGCACUGUAUCAGCUUAUAGAAGUAGAACGAGUAUGCAUUUUGCAAAUGAGUUCCUAAUCUAGCUGCAGUAUUUCCUAGGUCUGUCACAGUCAAGUCAUAGGACUUUGGAGAUUCAGUUUCCUCAUUUCUCAUAGGACCUUGGAGCCUCAGUUUUUCU
rnacentral:lncRNA from 10 species